rnacentral:lncRNA from 1 species
UUUUGGAACUCAUUUUGGGACUAGAUUCUGCAAACGUAGAAUUUGCACAGCUUUACUGUAAUUGUCAUCGUGAAUGAUACCCUAAUUAUACAUUGAUUUAAGGAAGCUAGGCUCACAUCGGAGAUAUACUCUAAUGAUGGUUUCUCUUAGAUUCAUAGAAUCUGCCAUAGAAAAGGACAUUCAUGAUUUGCUAGUUUAACUCCUCUCUACUUUCUUUCACU